rnacentral:rRNA from 1 species
GAUGAACGCUGGCGGCGUGCCUAAUACAUGCAAGUCGAGCGAACAGACGAGGAGCUUGCUCCUCUGACGUUAGCGGCGGACGGGUGAGUAACACGUGGAUAACCUACUUAUAAGACUGGGAUAACUUCGGGAAACCGGAGCUAAUACCGGAUAAUAUAUUGAACCGCAUGGUUCAAUAGUGAAAGACGGUUUUGCUGUCACUUAUAGAUGGAUUCGCGCCGCAUUAGCUAGUUGGUAAGGUAACGGCUUACCAAGGCAACGAUGCGUAGCCGACCUGAGAGGGUGAUCAGCCACACUGGAACUGAGACACGGUCCAGACUCCUACGGGAGGCAGCAGUAGGGAAUCUUCCGCAAUGGGCGAAAGCCUGACGGAGCAACGCCGCGUGAGUGAUGAAGGUCUUCGGAUCGUAAAACUCUUUUAUUAGGAAAGAACAAAUGUGUAAGUAACUAUGCACGUCUUGACGGUACCUAAUCAGAAAGCCACGGCUAACUACGUG